UACGGAGGGAGCUAGCGUUGUUCGGAAUUACUGGGCGUAAAGCGCAUGUAGGCGGCUUUGUAAGUUAGAGGUGAAAGCCCGGAGCUCAACUCCGGAACUGCCUUUAAGACUGCAUCGCUUGAAUCCAGGAGAGGUGAGUGGAGUUCCGAGUGUAGAGGUGAAAUUCGUAGAUAUUCGGAAGAACACCAGUGGCGAAGGCGGCUCACUGGUCCGGUACUGACGCUGAGGUGCGAAAGCGUGGGGAGCAAACAGG
rnacentral:rRNA from 1 species